CUUUAUAAGAAGAAGAAAGCCCUGUCUAAUUCAUCAUCAGCAAUACAUAGAACAGAACCAACACAAGCAAACCCAACAUCAACAAUGUCGACAAAGUCUAGCACUACCGUCCUUGCCUUUGCCUUUUGUUUCUUGUCCCUCCUCAGUUUCGCUUACUCCAACACCACCGACGACAAAAUCUACCUCACCGGCCUGGUCUACUGUGACAACUGCCAAUUGAAGUCUAUGACCGAGAUAAGUAAGAUGAUUCCAGGUACAUAACGUUAAUAAGUAGGUAACAAACUACCUAAAUGUCGAUUAUAAGAUUCGAAUAUGAGAUUUAUGCAUGCAUGCAUGCACAUUGCCCAUUGAUCAGGUGCAACGGUGCGAUUGGAGUGUAGGGAGGGGGGGAACAUAAAAUCCAGUCAAGAGGCCGAAACCAACCAGCUUGGACUGUACGUGUUUAAGUUGGACAAAUCUAAGGAGCCUGUGGAUGAUUGUCAAGUGACACUGCUACACAGCCCUGACCCUGAAUGCAAGAUUUCCCACGAAGUCGACCCUAACAACAAAUCGAAAACUGCACCGGUGGCCACCCGGAAGCUCAACCUAUUGGAAGGAGACAGCGUUGAUGUCAUCGCACCAGGCCACCGCGUUGCCUACCCUCUUGGUUUGGUCGUUGAGAAAGCUCUUCCCA
rnacentral:lncRNA from 1 species